GAGUAAGAGGUCUAUCUUUUCUUUGAGUUUUGCCCCCGGAACCCCAUUUUCACCUUGGGAAGGGCUAGUAUUGAGUUGGUUGUCUCCCGAAGAAUAGAAGAUGGGAGACAUAUGUAAAUUCACUACAAAAGCAUCUCGAACAAUAUUCUUAUUCGUCAGAGACAUACAGUUGACCAACUAAAGAAGUUUUACUGGAGGGUGGAGGGAGCAGAAGCUUCAAUCUUCAACAAUGUUAUUGGGAGCGACACAACAACGGUAAAAUGAAUUAUAUUGAGCACCUUUCUUUGGCAAGUUUAUAGCCCUCUUUGGUACCAGUUAUCUAUGAUCAAAACAUAACUAGUUUUUGAUGCAGUAUUGUCCUUUGUUUUUAAUGCACUAUUUUUCUUGUUGGUAACAACUUCAGAAGUUAAUUAUGAAUGUGAUUUUAUGAAUUUUCUCUUCUCUUUUCAGUUUGUUGUUGAAUGGUGAUUGAUAUGUACAAGUUUGUUUUUGAAUGAUGAAUAAUUUGCAUUGAAUCAAGUAUUUUUGGUUUUCUUU